rnacentral:lncRNA from 1 species
AGGGCGUCCUGAUAACCUCCCAAGAAGAAGACCCCAUGGUACAGUCUUAAAUUCUCACUCACCGCUGAAAUCACACUGCGAAGGCUGCAAUGAAGAGGAGUAGUGGGUGAAAGUGGUAACUGAAACCAACUCAGGAAACAGCAGAAGCUCGGGCUUGUAAAGGUAUCGUGGUCCCUGAAUCAAAGUAACACACGGUGGUCUUCAGCUUCUAUAAACAGGCAGAAGAUGGAUUGGGCCAGCACUUCCCUGCUCACCAGCCUCCUGCAUGAACUGGCAACAGUUACCCAAGCACGGUACAAGGAGAUGUACCAAAGAGGGACGGGCUACAAGCAAAUAAAGCUGCAGGAGAGUAACAGAAGGAACUUCUGGUGAGGAUACAUGGGCACAGCUACCUGAUGGCAUCCCGAGUCUUUAUCAGUUGGUGCAGCAGCAUCGGUGCUGUCGUGUCUAAGGGCGAAUUCCUAAAGUGCAAAUCACAACAUUCAAAGCUCCAGCAACUCAGUGCAAUAUUUGUUACCUCUGAAACCAGAGAUACGGAUCAAUUAUACUCCAGAGAAACCAUCUCAACAAUAUUCCCUGCAAGAGUACAGCUUUGACUGAAACGUACCACGCUUUCAGGAGUGACAUCUUAAAUAACAAUCCCAGCAGAUCAUGGCUUCGCUGCUGCAGGAAAACAAUUCUGGAAUAAUAUCAUUUCCCAGCCUUGGCAUCACAUUAAAUCAGAAGCCAGACCCUGGAUAGCUGAUAGAGCCGCUAGUCUCCAGACAGACAGACUGUAGAUCUGGUCCGUUUCAGCUACAAAGCAAGAGCAU